rnacentral:rRNA from 1 species
UAGCCUACGGGAGGCAGCAGUGGGGAAUAUUGGGCAAUGGGCGCAAGCCUGACCCAGCAACGCCGCGUGAAGGAAGAAGGCUUUCGGGUUGUAAACUUCUUUUAAGAGGGAAGAGAAGAAGACGGUACCUCUUGAAUAAGCUCCGGCUAACUACGUGCCAGCAGCCGCGGUAAUACGUAGGGAGCAAGCGUUAUCCGGAUUUAUUGGGUGUAAAGGGUGCGUAGACGGAGAAGCAAGUUAGUUGUGAAAUCCCUCGGCUUAACUGAGGAACUGCAACUAAAACUACUUCCCUUGAGUACUGGAGG